AUUGAACGCUGGCGGAAUGCUUUACACAUGCAAGUCGAGCGGCAGCGCGGGGGCAACCCUGGCGGCGAGCGGCGAACGGGUGAGUAACAUAUCGGAACGUACCCCGUCGUGGGGGAUAACACAGCGAAAGCUGUGCUAAUACCGCAUACGACCUGAGGGUGAAAGCGGGGGAUCGCAAGACCUCGCGCGAUGGGAGCGGCCGAUAUCGGAUUAGCUUGUUGGUGAGGUAAAGGCUCACCAAGGCGACGAUCCGUAGCUGGUCUGAGAGGACGACCAGCCACACUGGAACUGAGACACGGUCCAGACUCCUACGGGAGGCAGCAGUGGGGAAUUUUGGACAAUGGGGGCAACCCUGAUCCAGCCAUUCCGCGUGAGUGAAGAAGGCCUCGGUUGUAAGCUCUUCUAGCAGGAACGAAAC
rnacentral:rRNA from 1 species